rnacentral:rRNA from 1 species
GACAGAGGUGGCAAGCGUUGUUCGGAAUCACUGGGCUUAAAGGGCGCGUAGGCGGUGUGGCAAGUCCGUGGUGGAAUCCCGGGGCUUAACUCCGGGACUGCCCCGGAAACUGCCGCACUUGAGUCAGUGAGGGGAGGGCGGAAUUCCCGGUGUAGCAGUGAAAUGCGUAGAUAUCGGGAGGAAGGCCUGUGGCGAAGGCGGCCCUCUGGCGCUUGACUGACGCUGAGGCGCGAAAGCGUGGGGAGCAAACAGG